rnacentral:rRNA from 1 species
UACGUAGGCAGCAAGCGUUGUUCGGAGUUACUGGGCGUAAAGGGUGCGUAGGCGGCUUUUUAAGUUUGGUGUGAAAUCUCCCGGCUCAACUGGGAGGGUGCGCCGAAUACUGAGAGGCUAGAGUGUGGGAGAGGAAAGUGGAAUUCCUGGUGUAGCGGUGAAAUGCGUAGAUAUCAGGAGGAACCCCGGUGGUGUAAACGGCUUUCUGGACCAUAACUGACGCUGAGGCACGAAAGCGUGGGUAGCAAACAGG